GCCGUCUUAGCUCAGUGGUAGAGCGCGUGACUUUUAAUACCGUGGCCGUGGGUUCGAUCCCCACAGACGGCG
rfam:Brassica rapa chromosome A8, whole genome shotgun sequence.